UACGUAGGGGGCAAGCGUUGUCCGGAAUCAUUGGGCGUAAAGAGCGUGUAGGCGGCUCGGUAAGUCCGCUGUAAAAGUCCAGGGCUCAACCCUGGAAAGCCGGUGGAAACUGUCGAGCUAGAGUCCGGAAGAGGCGAGUGGAAUUCCUGGUGUAGCGGUGAAAUGCGCAGAUAUCAGGAGGAACACCAGCGGUGUAGACGGCUUUCUGGACCAUUGCUGACGCUGAGACACGAAAGCGUGGGUAGCAAACAGG
rnacentral:rRNA from 1 species